rnacentral:rRNA from 1 species
GACGAGCGCUGGCGGCGUGCUUAACACAUGCAAGUCGAACGGAAAGGCCCUGCUUUUGCGGGGUGCUUGAGAGGCGAACGGGUGAGUAACACGUGAGGAACCUGUACCUGACAUUGGGAUAACUUCUGGAAACUGGGGAGAAUACCGGAUAGGAGCUUCUGCUGCAUGGUGUUGGUUGGAAAGUUUCGGCGGUUGGGGAUGGAUUCGCGGCUUAUCAGCUUGUUGGUGUGGUAGUGGCUUACCAAGGCUUUGACGGGUAGCCGGCCUGAGAGGGUGACCGGGCACAUUGCGACUGAGGUACGGCCCAGACCCCUACGGGAGGCAGCAGUGGGGAAUAUUGCACAAUGGGAGGAAGCCAGAUCCAGCAACGCCGCGUGCGGGAAGACGGCCUUCGGGUUGUAAACCGCUUUCGCCUGUGACGAGGCGUGAGUGACGGUAAUGAGUAAGAAAGCACCGGCUAACUACGUG